CAUUACCCCUCAAUUCCUUCGACAUUUCUCCUUCGUUUCCAUCUUCAAGUUCAGAGCGCUUCUCUGCUGUGUACUCUCCUUCUUUUACUACAACCCACUCUCGAAGGUUCUUUUGGCCGUUUGUAGCUAAUCUGUUGCCCACAAAGGACAACUGAAUAAGCGUCUUGUCAAAGGUGGCUUUGUUGCUACCCAAAUAUCUGUAACCACUCUCAAUCUUGAAGUUGUCAGAGCACUAGCUAGAGGAAUUCUUGCAGAAAGAACAGGAUCAAAGAAAACGAUAUAUGCAUAUGUGAAAUUGUGAUGGGGGAAGACCAAAAAGUAGAAAUGUUACGGGUGCAGGCAAGUUGUGCUAGGAAGGGAUCAACACACUAGGCGACAAUACUACCAAUGAUGUGGACUUGGAACUUGCUUAUUCUUAAUUACAUGCUGUAAAAUAUUUUUAUGAAUUAAUGUUUAUAAUUUUCUUGUGAAAUGGUUUCUGCCAUGGCAAUGAUGACCAUAUUUAUCUAAUUCUUCAUUGCACAAUCAUUUACAUUAUACUAUUCCACCGCUUAAACAAAUCUGAUGUUGAACUGAAUUGCAAGUGUUUAUACGGAGCGAGACUAAAAUUACAGUAGUUGAAGGCAGUGCCACAGUUGGAAGGUCAAGCAGGAGGAAGAAUAAUGUGCACUAAAUAACAGGGCUCAAUUCUUUU